CAGCAGCCGCGGUAAUACGAAGGGUGCAAGCGUUAAUCGGAAUUACUGGGCGUAAAGCGUGCGUAGGCGGUGAGUUAAGUCUGCUGUGAAAUCCCCGGGCUCAACCUGGGAAUGGCAGUGGAUACUGGCUCGCUAGAGUGUGUCAGAGGAUGGUGGAAUUCCCGGUGUAGCGGUGAAAUGCGUAGAGAUCGGGAGGAACAUCGGUGGUGAAGGCGGCCAUCUGGGACAACACUGACGCUGAGGCACGAAAGCGUGGGGAGCAAACAGGAUUAGAUACCCCCGUAGUCCCUGUCUCUUAUAC
rnacentral:rRNA from 1 species